rnacentral:lncRNA from 1 species
UUUGAAAUGCUAUUGAAGGACCGUCUCCCAAUAGACAGUGGUGUGACUUAGGAGCUGCUUUACGUUUAUUAUUACGUGCCAACAUUCAGCGUUUCCCGAGGACAAGUGCUGAUACAAAUAGCAGGAGAUCUACCCCCUCUCUCCUUGUCCUACUGUGGAAGUGGGUUUCAUUUGAGCAAUAAGACCUGACAGACUGCAUUUGUGGGCACUUACAGGACACCUUAGGUGGUAUUAAA